UAACUUGCAAGUCGAAUGGUAACGCGGGGGCUUCCCUGGCGACGAGUGGCGAACGGGUGAGGAGCGCUUCGGAACGUGCCCUGAGUGGGGGAUAGCUCGGCGAAAGCCGGAUUAAUACCGCAUUCGACCUACGGGUGAAAGUGGGGGACCGCAAGGUCUCGCGCUAUUGGAGCGGCCGAUGCCCGAUUAGCUAUGUGGUGAGGUAAAGGCUCACCAAGGCAACGAUCCGUGGCUGGUCUGAGAGGACGACCAGCCACACUGGGACUGAAACCCGGCCCAGACUCCUACGGGAGGCAGCAUGGGGAAUUUUGGACAAUGGGGGAAACCCUGAUCCAGCCAUGCCGCCUGCGGGAAGAAGGCCUUCUGGUUGUAAACCGCUUUUGGCUGGAACGAAAUGGUGCGCGCUAAUACCGCGCGCUAAUGGCUGUACCUGUAUAAUAAGCACCGGCUAACUACGUGCCAUCAGCCGCGGUUAUACGUAGGGUGCGAGCGUUUAUCGGAAUUACUGGGCGUAAAACGUACGCAGGCGGCUGUGCAUUACAGAUGUGUAUUCCCCGGGCUCAACCCGGUAACUGCAUUUUGGGACUGCAUAGCUAGAGUCCGUAUGAGGUGGCUGGAAUUCCACGUGUAGCAGUGAAUUGCCUAGAGAUGUGUAGGAACACCGAUGGCGAAGGCAGCUUCCUGGUAUUA
rnacentral:rRNA from 1 species